UGAGGCCACAUGGCUGUAGUGAAGGCUCUUCUCCUGAAGGGGACGCAUGUGGACACCAACACAAAAGAUGGCCUGACGGCCCUACACAGAACUGCAGGCCCCUCGUGGAAGAGAUGCCACUGGGCUUUGGAGCUCAGGUCCAACUCAAUGGAGGCAAGGCCCAGGAGACCCCGCUACACAUCGCUGCCAGGGUGAAGGAGGGGGAAAAGGUGGCUGAGAUGCUGCUGAAGUCAACGCAGAGCAGAGGAAUGAGGAGACAGCGAUGCAUGUUGCGGCUCGCCACGGAGGACUGCAAAUGAUGAGAGCCCUGAAAAAGGAGGGAGG